rnacentral:rRNA from 1 species
UACGUAGGGUGCGAGCGUUGUCCGGAUUUAUUGGGCGUAAAGGACUCGUAGGCGGCCUGUCGCGUCGGGAGUGAAAGCCCACUGCUUAACGGUGGGUCUGCUUCCGGUACGGGCGGGCUGGAGUAUGGCAGGGGAGACUGGAAUUCCUGGUGUAGCGGUGGAAUGCGCAGAUAUCAGGAGGAACACCGGUGGCGAAGGCGGGUCUCUGGGCCAUUACUGACGCUGAGGAGCGAAAGCGUGGGGAGCGAACAGG